rnacentral:rRNA from 1 species
GUUUGGUUAAGUUAGAAAGGGCGCACGGUGGAUGCCUUGACACUAGGAGUCGAUGAAGGACGGGACUAACGCCGAUAUGCUUCGGGGAGCUGUAAGUAAGCUUUGAUCCGAAGAUUUCCGAAUGGGGAAACCCACCAUACGUAAUGGUAUGGUAUCCUUAUCUGAAUACAUAGGGUAAGGAAGACAGACCCAGGGAACUGAAACAUCUAAGUACCUGGAGGAAGAGAAAGCAAAUGCGAUUUCCUGAGUAGCGGCGAGCGAAACGGAACAUAGCCCAAACCAAGAGGCUUGCCUCUUGGGGUUGUAGGACAUUCUAUACGGAGUUACAAAGGAACGAGGUAGACGAAGCGACCUGGAAAGGUCCGUCGUAGAGGGUAACAACCCCGUAGUCGAAACUUCGUUCUCUCUUGAAUGUAUCCUGAGUACGGCGGAACACGUGAAAUUCCGUCGGAAUCUGGGAGGACCAUCUCCCAAGGCUAAAUACUCCCUAGUGAUCGAUAGUGAACCAGUACCGUGAGGGAAAGGUGAAAAGCACCCCGGAAGGGGAGUGAAAGAGAUCCUGAAACCGUGUGCCUACAAAUAGUCAGAGCCCGUUAACGGGUGAUGGCGUGCCUUUUGUAGAAUGAACCGGCGAGUUACGAUCCCGUGCGAGGUUAAGCUGAAGAGGCGGAGCCGCAGCGAAAGCGAGUCUGAAUAGGGCGUUUAGUACGUGGUCGUAGACCCGAAACCAGGUGAUCUACCCAUGUCCAGGGUGAAGUUCAGGUAACACUGAAUGGAGGCCCGAACCCACGCACGUUGAAAAGUGCGGGGAUGAGGUGUGGGUAGCGGAGAAAUUCCAAUCGAACCUGGAGAUAGCUGGUUCUCCCCGAAAUAGCUUUAGGGCUAGCCUUAAGUGUAAGAGUCUUGGAGGUAGAGCACUGAUUGGACUAGGGGUCCUCAUCGGAUUACCGAAUUCAGUCAAACUCCGAAUGCCAAUGACUUAUCCUUAGGAGUCAGACUGCGAGUGAUAAGAUCCGUAGUCAAAAGGGAAACAGCCCAGACCGCCAGCUAAGGUCCCAAAGUGUGUAUUAAGUGGAAAAGGAUGUGGAGUUGCUUAGACAACUAGGAUGUUGGCUUAGAAGCAGCCACCAUUUAAAGAGUGCGUAAUAGCUCACUAGUCGAGUGACUCUGCGCCGAAAAUGUACCGGGGCUAAAUACACCACCGAAGCUGCGGAUUGAUACCAAUGGUAUCAGUGGUAGGGGAGCGUUCUAAGGACAGUGAAGUCAGACCGGAAGGACUGGUGGAGUGCUUAGAAGUGAGAAUGCCGGUAUGAGUAGCGAAAGACGGGUGAGAAUCCCGUCCACCGAAUGCCUAAGGUUUCCUGAGGAAGGCUCGUCCGCUCAGGGUUAGUCAGGACCUAAGCCGAGGCCGACAGGCGUAGGCGAUGGACAACAGGUUGAUAUUCCUGUACCACCUCUUUAUCGUUUGAGCAAUGGAGGGACGCAGAAGGAUAGAAGAAGCGUGCGAUUGGUUGUGCACGUCCAAGCAGUUAGGCUGAUAAGUAGGCAAAUCCGCUUAUCGU